rnacentral:rRNA from 1 species
UACGAAGGGGGCUAGCGUUGCUCGGAAUUACUGGGCGUAAAGGGAGCGUAGGCGGACUGUUAAGUUAGAGGUGAAAGCCCAGGGCUCAACCCUGGAAUUGCCUUUAAGACUGCAUCGCUUGAACAUCGGAGAGGUAAGUGGAAUUCCGAGUGUAGAGGUGAAAUUCGUAGAUAUUCGGAAGAACACCAGUGGCGAAGGCGACUUACUGGACGAUUGUUGACGCUGAGGUGCGAAAGCGUGGGGAGCAAACAGG